rnacentral:pre_miRNA from 1 species
AAUGACACGAUCACUCCCGUUGAGUGGGGCACCCAAGAAGCCAUCGGGAAUGUCGUGUCCGCCC